rnacentral:misc_RNA from 1 species
AACACCUCAACUCUCACGGUUCGCCGCGAUGAGCUUGGACUUUGGGGGUUUUGCUGGCCUGCGGGUCGGCUCCUCUCAAAUGGAUCAGCUUGCCAGUGUUUGGUGGCGUCACAAGUGUGAUAACUAUCUACGCUCGUGGUCGUCCGCCAGGUAACCUUCAGUGAUGGAGGUUCGCUGGAGCUCAUAGACGUCUCUCCUCGGCGAAGACAGCUUUUUGAAC